UAUCUUUGCACCCGAAUAAGGAUACUCUUUAUUCAUACAUAAUAAUCAUUUAAAAUAAUAUUAAAAUG
rnacentral:ncRNA from 1 species